GGUACAAUUGGUUUCUCCCUUCUGACGAAGCAUGAUGUCAUUAAUUUGGUGUCGUGGGGAAUCAGGACUGUUACUUUGAAAAAAUUAGAGUGUUUAAAGCAAGCGUUAGCUUGAAUACAUUAGCAUGGAAUAAUGAAAUAGGACGUUUGAUCCUAUUUCGUUGGUUUCUAGGAUCGACGUAAUGAUUAAUAGGGAUAGUUGGGGGCAUUAGUAUUCAAUUGUCAGAGGUGAAAUUCUUGGAUUUAUUGAAGACUAACUACUGCGAAAGCAUUUGCCAAGGAUGUUUUCAUUAAUCAAGAACGAAAGUUAGGGGAUCGAAGACGAUCAGAUACCGUCGUAGUCUUAACCAUAAACUAUGCCGACUAGGGAUCGGAUGAUGUUAAUUUUUUAAUGACUCAUUCGGCGCCUUACG
rnacentral:rRNA from 1 species